rnacentral:rRNA from 1 species
CCUACGGGUGGCAGCAGUGGGGAAUAUUGGGCAAUGGGCGCAAGCCUGACCCAGCAACGCCGCGUGAAGGAAGAAGGCUUUCGGGUUGUAAACUUCUUUUGUCAGGGAAGAGUAGAAGACUGUAUCUGUCGAAUAAGCCACGGCUAACUACGUGCCCGCAGCCGCGGUUAUGCGUAGGGGGCAAGCGUUGUCCGGAUAUACUGGGUGUAAAGGGCGUGUAGCCGGGUUGACAAGUCAGAUGUGAAAGCCUGCGGCUGAACCGCAGAACUGCAUUUGAAACUGUUGAUCUUGAGUACGGGAGAGGCAGACGGAAUUCCUAGUGUAGCGGUGAAAUGCGUAGAUAUUAGGAGGAACACCAGUGGCGAAGGCGGUCUGCUGGACAGCAACUGACGGUGAGGCGCGAAAGCGUGGGGAGCAAACAGGAUUAGAUACCCGGGUAGUC